CCUACGGGAGGCAGCAGUGGGGGAUAUUGCGCAAUGGGGGCAACCCUGACGCAGCAACGCCGCGUGAAGGAUGAAGGUUUUCGGAUUGUAAACUUCUUUUAUUAAGGACGAAAAAUGACGGUACUUAAUGAAUAAGCUCCGGCUAACUACGUGCCAGCAGCCGCGGUAAUACGUAGGGAGCAAGCGUUGUCCGGAUUUACUGGGUGUAAAGGGUGCGUAGGCGGCUUUGCAAGUCAGAUGUGAAAUCUAUGGGCUCAACCCAUAAACUGCAUUUGAAACUGUAGAGCUUGAGUGAAGUAGAGGCAGGCGGAAUUCCCCGUGUAGCGGUGAAAUGCGUAGAGAUGGGGAGGAACACCAGUGGCGAAGGCGGCCUGCUGGGCUUUAACUGACGCUGAGGCACGAAAGCGUGGGUAGCAAACAGGAUUAGAUACCCGAGUAG
rnacentral:rRNA from 1 species